rnacentral:rRNA from 1 species
UACGGAGGGUGCAAGCGUUAUCCGGAUUUACUGGGUUUAAAGGGUGCGUAGGUGGGCAGGUAAGUCAGUGGUGAAAUCUCCGGGCUUAACCCGGAAACUGCCAUUGAUACUAUCAGUCUUGAAUACCGUGGAGGUAAGCGGAAUAUGUCAUGUAGCGGUGAAAUGCUUAGAUAUGACAUAGAACACCAAUUGCGAAGGCAGCUUACUACCCGAAUAUUGACACUGAGGCACGAAAGCGUGGGGAUCAAACAGG